CUUCAUUAUGGAGAAUGUCUAGUUCUGAAAACGAACGUUUCUCCGUCUCGUCAUUUUACCCUACUAAUUCAGGAGUGCUAUUUAUAUCCUGUCGACUACUCAUCAUUCAUCCAUACUGUGUGUGUCCCAUGAUUGCAGAUGUAUGGUGACUUCACGUUUGGAUGAACGGACCAACGGGACUGCCAUGGGCAAGGCUCUUGACGAGUACCAGGAAUGGUGGAAGGACAAUCUGAAGGUGAGACUGAACAUGGACAGGGCGCAUGAGAAGGAGAGCCACCUGAGAACAAUUAAGGGGACCAAGUGCUUCGACAGCUGGGUGAAUGACUUGGCUUGGAAGAAGGAUGAACAAGGACAAACUUUUUUUGUAAUUUCGCCCCGGCAAGGCACUUCCCUGUUCCCUGGGCUACAAAUACGUGGAUUUCGAUUAAGGCAGCCCCAGCACCUCUCUGAUUCAGAGGGGUUGGGUUAAAUGCGGAAAACACAUUUCAGUUGUACAACUGGUAGGUAUCCCCCUU
rnacentral:lncRNA from 1 species